UGGGGAAUUUUGGACAAUGGGCGCAAGCCUGAUCCAGCCAUGCCGCGUGCGGGAAGAAGGCCUUCGGGUUGUAAACCGCUUUUGUCAGGGAAGAAAUCUUCUGAGUUAAUACCUCGGGAGGAUGACGGUACCUGAAGAAUAAGCACCGGCUAACUACGUGCCAGCAGCCGCGGUAAUACGUAGGGUGCAAGCGUUAAUCGGAAUUACUGGGCGUAAAGCGUGCGCAGGCGGUUUUGUAAGACAGAGGUGAAAUCCCCGGGCUCAACCUGGGAACUGCCUUUGUGACUGCAAGGCUUGAGUGCGGCAGAGGGGGAUGGAAUUCCGCGUGUAGCAGUGAAAUGCGUAGAUAUGCGGAGGAAACACCGAUGGCGAAGGCAAUCCCCUGGGCCUGCACUGACGCUCAUGCACGAAAGCGUGGGGAGCAAAACAGGAUUAGAUACCCUGGUAGUCCACGCCCUAAAACGAUGUCAACUGGUUGUUGGGAAGGUUCCUUCUCAGUAACGUAGCUAACGCGUGAAGUUGACCGCCUGGGGAGUACGGCCGC
rnacentral:rRNA from 1 species